AGGUGGAUGACUGGGCUCAAGAGGCCGACGAAGGGUGUGACAAGCUGCAGUAAGCUUCGGCGAGCCGCAUGUAGGCUUUGAACCGGAGAUGCCCGAAUGAGACUUCUCAAUAAAUCCGAAAGGAUAGGGAACGCAGGGAAUUGAAACGUCUUAGUACCUGCAGGAAAAGAAAUCAAACGAGAUGCUGUUAGUAAGAGCGACCGAACACAGCAAUAGGCAAACCGAAUCUUGCAUGGAAACAUGCAAGGGAUGUGGUGUUACAGGACUGUCUUUUAGCCUGUGCCAGCCAACGAGAAGUGCGCUGGAAAGCGCUGCCAAAGAGGGUGAUAGCCCCGUAUUGGUAGACUGGCGUGGUGUGACAGAAUCCUGAGUAGCGUCUCUUGGAGAUGAGGCGUGAAUUUGGGAGGCAUCAACUUCCAACCUUAAAUACUUCUUGAGACCGAUAGCGUACAAGUACAGCGAUGGAAAGUUGAAAAGAACCCUUAACAGGGAGUUAAAAGACUCUGAAACCUACUAGUCAUGGAGGGAUGCGGCGUUACGGCGUUGCAUCGUCCGUUUUGAAUAACGUGCCAGGGAGUGCAUCUGAGUGGCAAGGGUAAUCCUGCUAAUGGAGGACCCGAAGGGAAACCGAUAUGCGCGCAAGCAAUGAGGCGCGAGGUAUGAAAGUGCCUGGAGUCACUUGGAUGCGACCCGAAGCCGAGCGAUCUAACCCUGGGUAAGGUGAAGCGCGGGUAAAACUGCGUGGAGGCCUGAAGAGGUGCUACGUGCAAGUGUUCUUCUAACCUGGGGCUAGGGGUGAAAAGCCAAUCGAGCUCGGUGAUAGCUGGUUCCUGUCGAAUUUGGCCGCAGUCAAAUCCUCGACGAGACAACGGAAGAGGUAGAGAGACGGAUUUGGGAUUUAGGGGUCGAAAGAUCUCGGUUCCUUGUCCAACUCCGAAUGUUUCCGUGUCGUAGACUUGAGGGGACGGGGGUCUCCCGUAACGGGAGGGUCCGAAAGGGGAACAACCCAGACUGAAGUUAAGGUCCCAAAAUACCGAUCAAGUGUGAAAGGGUGAAAGGUGUCUAUGUUCAAAGACAGCGAGGAGGUUGGCUUAGAAGCAGCCACCCUAUAAUAAGUGCGUAACAGCUUACUUGUCAAGAAUAUAGGCCCUGAAAAUGGACGGGGCUAAAUCGGUUACCGAUACUUCAGACAACCGAAAGGUUUGUGGUAGGCAGGCGUUGUGCAAGAGCAAAAGCUCGUCUGAGAGGAUGAGUGAAUCUUGUGCAAAUGAGGAUCCUGGUGAGAGUAGGAACAGAGUCAUGUGAGAAUCAUGACCACCGGAAGGGCAAGGGUUCCUUGACAAUGCAGUUCAGUCAAGGGUAAGUUGAUCCUAACUGUACACCUAACAGGUAGUACGGGAAAGGGAAAAAGGUUAAGAUUCCUUUACUACACGCGUACGUGUGGCAACACAAGUCUUUGUACUGACCGUUUGGGCUAGAUAGACACAGACCAUCGUCUGUGAUAACCACUGUACAUCGAGGGAGAAUAGUAAUGAUGAGAACUCGAUGAAACUUGGGAAUAGCGGGUCUUUGAUCCGUUCUGUUAAUGCCUGGACGCCAUGAAAAAGGACAAGGAAAGGAUCGCGUGUAAUCAUACCCAGAACCAGCACAGGUGCCCCUAGGUGAGAAGCCUAAGGUGUGAGGGUGUAAUCAGUCUAAGGGAACUCGGCAUAUUGGCCCCGUAACUUCGGUUUAAGGGGUCCCUACAGUCGUGAGCAUAUACUUGCGAUUGCAGGGUGCAAUAACUAAGUGGGUCCAACUGUUUAACAAAAACACAACUUUCCGCUAGCCAGAAAUGGUGUGUACGGAAGGUGACGUCUGCCCAGUGCCUGUACUUGAAACUUCGGUUCAACGGAGCUAAGAGCAGGUAAACGGCGGGGGUAACUAUAACUCUCUUAAGGUAGCGUAAUACCUUGCCGUUUGAAUGACGGCUUGCAUGAAUGGCGCAAUGAGAUCCACACUGUCCCUAGAUUGAAGCCCCCGAACACUCUUUUCUGGUGCAAAAGCCAGAGAUUUCCAGUGGGAAGUGAAGACCCCGUGAAACUUUACUGUAGCUUGUUGUUGCGACGUGAGGUCUGUUGUAUAGGGUAAGUGGGAGCCGCUACGAUAUGGUCGCCAGACCAUAGAUAGGCGACGAUGUAACACCACUCUUCGGAUCUUACGUUGCUAACUAACUGGUUUAGGACAGCGGCAAGUGGACAGUUUGGCUGGGGUGGCACACUACUGAAAGAAUAUCAGUAGUGCCCAAUGGUUGGCUCAGGCGGGUCGGAAAUCCGCUGUAGAGUGCAAGAGUAAAAGCCAGCCUGAUUGGAUCGCAACCAAGAAGCAAUCCAAGAACGAAAGUUUGGUCUAGCGAACCUCCGUACCUCCUUGGUGGGGGUCGGAGAUGACCGAAAAGUUACUCCGGGGAUAACAGAGUUGUCGCGCCCGAGAGCUCAUAUCGACGGCGCGGCUUGCUACAUCGAUGUCGGCUCUUCCUAUCCUGGUCGUGCAGAAGCGGCCAAGGGUGGGGGUGUUCACCCAUUAAAAGGGAUCGUGAGCUGGGUUCAGAACGCUGUGAGGCAGUUUGUUUAAUAUCUACUGGAAAUGUUUGAUGUCUGAGUGGAAGGACCUUCUAGUACGAGAGGAACGGGGGUUCGAGGCCUCUGGUCGAUCGGUUGUCUGACAAGGCACGCCGAGCAGCUACGCCUUUGGAGAUAAAUGCUGAAAGCAUCUAAGCAUGAAGCUCUCCGCAAAAAGAGACAUCAUAGGACUCGGGAAAAAGACCCGUUUGAUGGGACUGGUGUGUACGCACA
rnacentral:rRNA from 1 species